AUACUUAACUGACAGUGGAGACAUCAUGAUUAAGAAGGUGAUUCACCCAGGGCAAGGCUCGGCCAUUGUGCAUUCUUCAAAUGUUGGAAUCUCGACUGCAUAAUUUAUGAUAGUGGGGGACUGUGUUUGCACUCUCCCCUG
ensembl:snRNA U1 U1 spliceosomal RNA